AGCUUGAUGACCAAGAAACAGGGACUUGCGUGAUAACAAAAAAACAUGGGAAAUAUAUAGAGACAAUAGAAUAAGAUGGAACACCUCAGAUAUGUGAUUCAGGGUACUGCUUGUACCAAAUUGCUGCAGAUUUUCAUAUGUACAGAAUGUAAAACAAGACUACAACAUUCAUGGACACCAUGAAUCGAAACAAACACCUAGUAACUAAUAUAUGUAGUAUAUUAUCUUGACAUGAUUGCAUGACUUUCACAUUAAAUAAAAUUGAGCACAUGGUAGCAUUUCAGUUCCAUCUAGACACAACGAAAUCAUCACAAAAGCAUUGGUUUUGCCUCAAUUUUAAUUGACUGCUGUAGAGACUUGCAAAACUGAAUUCCAAUCAACCUGAAACAGCAGAAAGGUAUUAGGACUUGAUUGCUGCAGAUCUGCAAAACUGAACCCGAAUUAACCUAUACAAUAAUAGAGAGAAUUAGGAUUUGAGAUCUGCUUGUGUUCUAGGGUUCAAGAAGGGAGAGAGGCAGACUCACAGACACCAGAAUAGUGAGUAAUGGAGGGAUGGGCACCAUGGGAGGGGAAGGAGAGAGAGAAGGCGCCAUGGUAGGGAAGGAUGUGUUGGAGGAGAGGGGCAGCAAAUGGAGAGAAGAAAGGGAGGAGAUAUGCCACGGAGAAGAUAAUAUCUGAAGUUUUACCUGCGCCGCCGUCGCCGAGACCUCUCCGUCGUCGCCUCGAGCCCACCGUCGUCGCCAUGGAUAAGGAUUGAGGAGGACAGACCAGAUCCUCC
rnacentral:lncRNA from 1 species